GGCAGUCUGAGUGAAAACCUUCACAUUUCUACUUCGAUCUUAAGAAAGCCAUACAGGUUUGGAACCAAGUGAAAACGCAGUGAUGACCAGCUUUCCAUCAGCUAUGGAAUGUGAAAUAAAAAAUGCUAUUUCUAAUCAUUUCAAACAAGCACCAGGGACGGCAGGGGGUGGGGGUUAUGGAUCUAAAGUAAACAGUUAAUUCUUAAAAAUUAAUUGUUUUACAUAUUUUUCCAAUGUUUUAUUUGUUAAUUUUUAUGUUUGAAUGUUGUCCAAGUUGUUGUUGUCUAUAUAAUUGUUCAAAAUAAAUCCCUUUAUAUUCAAUUAGUUUGGAUGGAUUUUAAUUUAUGAGAACAUGUUAUAUUUGAGUGAAAAGAAUCCUUAUGCCUCAUUUUGUUGUCUAUUACAUGUAUAUGUAGUGUAAUUGAUGACUAGUCUAUUCUUGGGCUAUGGUUAGACGUCUAUUAGAUUUUCACUGACAGCCCAAAAUCAGCCUUGUUUUAGCCUAGACCCAUAUUGCCUGUCUAUUAGACGUAUGUAGUC